rnacentral:rRNA from 1 species
UUGGAGGGCAAGUCUGGUGCCAGCAGCCGCGGUAAUUCCAGCUCCAAUAGCGUAUAUUAAAGUUGUUGCAGUUAAAAAGCUCGUAGUUGAAUUUCGGGAUCAAUGUUUCGGUCAUGCCGUUGGUAUGUACUGAUAUUAUUGAUUUCUCACCUUCUAAAGAACCGUAAUGCCAUUAAUUUGGUGUCACGGGGAAUUAGGACUGUUACCUUGAAAAAAUUAGAGUGUUUAAAGCAGGCUCACGCUUGAAUACAUUAGCAUGGAAUAAUGAAAUAGGACAUCCGAUUCUAUUUUGUUGGUUUCUAGGAUCGAUGUAAUGAUUAAUAGGGAUAGUUGGGGGCAUUAGUAUUCAAUUGUCAGAGGUGAAAUUCUUGGAUUUAUUGAAGACUAACUACUGCGAAAGCAUUUGCCAAGGAUGUUUUCAUUAAUCAAGAACGAAAGUUAGGGGAUCGAAGACGAUCAGAUACCGUCGUAGUCUUAACCAUAAACUAUGCCGACUAGGGAUCGGAUGAUGUUAAUAUUUUAAUGACUCAUUCGGCGCCUUACGGGAAAC